UGCAUGUUUCUCAAAUGGUAGAGCAUCUGUCUAGAAAGCACAAGAUUCUGAGUUCAAACCUCAGCCUUGCAU
rnacentral:tRNA from 1 species